UGGGGAAUUUUGGACAAUGGGCGAAAGCCUGAUCCAGCAAUGCCGCGUGUGUGAAGAAGGCCUUCGGGUUGUAAAGCACUUUUGUCCGGAAAGAAAUCCUUGGCUCUAAUACAGUCGGGGGAUGACGGUACCGGAAGAAUAAGCACCGGCUAACUACGUGCCAGCAGCCGCGGUAAUACGUAGGGUGCAAGCGUUAAUCGGAAUUACUGGGCGUAAAGCGUGCGCAGGCGGUUUGCUAAGACCGAUGUGAAAUCCCCGGGCUCAACCUGGGAACUGCAUUGGUGACUGGCAGGCUAGAGUAUGGCAGAGGGGGGUGGAAUUCCACGUGUAGCAGUGAAAUGCGUAGAGAUGUGGAGGAAUACCGAUGGCGAAGGCAGCCCCCUGGGCCAAUACUGACGCCUCAUGCACGAAAGCGUGGGGAGCAAAC
rnacentral:rRNA from 1 species